GUUUUUUUAUAUGUUCCCUUCUACCUCCGAAUAUUUGCAGUUUUGCGAAACGGCCCCUAUCAAGUCCAGGGUUGGUUUACAAAUAUGGUAACUGGCUAUAUCUUUUUUUUGGCGUAUUUUUUAUAAAUCUGGUUGAUACCAAAGUAAAUGAUCGAAGUUUCAUAUUAGUAACAAUAAUGUCGGGUCCCUUAAUCUUUAAUAGCUCUUUAUUUACAGGUGUAGAUUUAGUAUAAACAGUUUACAAUUUAAUUUUAAAUUAUGCGGUCAAAUAUAUUAAAGACUGCUUACCAAGAUGUAAAUAAAAUGGGAAUUAGACUAUGCAACCUACUAGGGCUCCGCAAUACGGAGCCUGGGUUUUAAAAUUUUAGUAUUAUAAUUACACAGAAAAAGAAUAGAGAGCAAUUUUUUUUCUUUCAGCGGAAGAGUGCUCAAAGAAAAAGGUUAUGCUUUAUAUGGAUUUUAUAAAGUUCGCCUUUCCUCUCAUGUUGCAAUACAUAUAUAAUAAUAUGUAUAUUAAUAUACCACUUAAGUAAUCACUUCCUCUAAGCCAAGAGUUUAAGAAGGAAAAGUGCAAUGCUAUUAUUGGUGCUCCCGUUGCUGGAAUGAACAGGUUUUGUGUUAUUAUUAUUAUUAAGCUUCAUAAAUCUUUUAUAAUAUACCUAAUUUCGUUUAUUUUAUUUAUAUCAUUAUUGUUAUGAAAAAGUAUAUAAUUGAAUAUUAUAUAUUUAUGUAUGUUAUAUUAUUUUUUUAACAUAAGCGCUGUAAGGGCGACAGUUCACUUAGGAUCCAAUCUUGGCUAUACUUCUUACGGAGUUCAAAUGGAUAUUAAAGGCAUUCAAAAACUAUAGUAUAAUAUUUACUUCUUUUAACGAUUUGCGGUUUUGUAAGCGAGGAAGUUUUAAGCUAGACUUUGAGUGUUGACAAUUGGAGACUUUUAGCAGGGCUCAAUUAGGAACCAACCGCGGAAGGCCAAAAAACUUUCAGUAAAUUGCUAAAGUUAAUUAAAAAUCGUAAAAUUGUGUCUUUGCUGGUCGUUGGUGAACUUGAAGCGCUUACUUCCAUUUGGGAAAGCUCAACAAGAAAACCAUCCAGAAUUGAAGAUACCUAUAGUGAUUGUACCAGCGACCGUAAGCAAUAUCGUUCCUGCUUUUUUGGAGGGAGCAGGGUUUACACUUUUAUUAGCAGUGUCACUAGCCUUUUUUCGUUCUUUCUUUAUAUUUUUUAAACCUUUGCUUAUUUA